rnacentral:rRNA from 1 species
GACAGAGGUGCCGAGCGUUAGGCGGAAUCACUGGGCCUAAAGCGUGUGUAGGCGGAUCUGUAAGUACCUUGUGAAAUCCCACGGCUCAACCGUGGAACUGCUUGGUAUACUGCGGGUCUUGAGCCACCUAGGGGCAAGUGGAACAAACGGUGGAGCGGUGAAAUGCGUAGAUAUCGUUUGGAACGCCAAUGGUGAAAACAACUUGCUGGGGGUGUGCUGACGCUGAGACACGAAAGCCAGGGGAGCAAACGGG